ensembl:lncRNA
CCCCUCAGAUCCACAAAAGGCCUCCAAUCAUUGAGAACUGUGGGCAGGAACAGACAUCUGGGGAUGGACGGGACAUGAAUCCAGAGCGUCUCAGCCAGUCUGGAAGGGUGACUCGGCUGAUGGAGAGAAAUUAUGAUGGGGUGAUCUCAUCCUCCAACUCUGAUGACAUCUCUAUCUACUCCUUCACUGACUGUGAAUCUGAGUCUGAUGAGGAUCAUGAAAGGAGGACACCACCGCUGAUAGUGAAGGAUAAGGAGGAUGGAAAGGUGACAAAGUUUGAAGUGAGGGAAAUGGUAGAGGACGACAAUCUGUCUCUCCACUCCUUGGAUGAUUCAGACUUUCUGGUAUGUUCUGCACCAUGUAUUUGAGUAACUCUUUGACUGAAUGUGGAGAAUGGACUAUGACCAACUAGCUCUCUGACACAGUGUGAUAAUGGCAAUGAUGCCUCUGCUGAGGACAGUCCAGGGUCUUCAAAGGAACCACAGAGAAAAGGGGCUUCACUGAAGGACCCUCGACUGGUAUUCUCUUACAUUUGUGUGUUAGUGGUGCGCAAGUCAGCUGUUUGUUCAACCAAGCCCACCCGCAAUUGCUAAUAACCCAUCCGCAACCGCUUGACUAUAUGUGAAAAAGUGAAAACCUGACCCUAGUCCACAAAUAUAGAACACAUCAGAGAAG